GCGGCUAUGGUGUAGUGGCAGCACAGCAGCUUGUGGAGCUGUUUGCACGGGUUCGAAUCCCGUUAGCCGCC
rnacentral:tRNA from 1 species